rnacentral:rRNA from 1 species
GGGUAACCUGAGAAACCCAAAAGAUCGAAUGGGGAGAUUCAUCGUCAGCGAUGCUGGUACGUGUGCGGUUCGCGAUGCCGCCGAGACCUCGGUCUCGUGGCACGCGUCCGCAUGUUUUUCUUAUUGCCUGGCAUCGUCGGCGUGCACUUCUCCCCUAGUAGGACGUCGCGACCCGUUGGGUGUCGGUCUACGGCCCGGGUGGUAGACUGUCUCGUGUGCGCUUAAUCGCGUCACUGCGGGACAGACCCCCGGCUGCCCGACCGGCUGCCCGGCGGUACUCGCAAGGUAUCUGGCCGCAAAUAUUUGAACUGCGUCCGGCCCGUCGCAAGCGAGGCAAGUGUUUCCCGAAUGUCACGGAUCUGAUGCCGUCAUCGGGCCUGGCCAGCUGUUGGUUGACGGUGACCUAGGACUGGCCAUAAUUAUUAUGAUACCGGUCGGCGACGCUACUGCUUUGGGUACUUUCAGGACCCGUCUUGAAACACGGACCAAGGAGUCUAACAUGUGCGCGAGUCAUUGGGAGCUGUUAAGCCUAAAGGCGCAAUGAAAGUGAAGGUCGGCCUCGCGCCGAUCGAGGGAGGAUGGGCCGCGUCACGAUGCGGUCCCGCACUCCCGGGGCGUCUCGUUCUCAUUGCGAGAAGAGGCGCACCCAGAGCGUACACGUU